rnacentral:misc_RNA from 1 species
CUGAGUAGGAUGUUGGAAAAUUUUGUUUCAUAGAGAAGAAAAUUUAUUGGGAUAGGGGAAAAAAAGUUGAGGUAGAAAUAACGAUUUCAAAAAUUUCAAAAAAGAAUAGAAAAAAACCCUAACAGAGCCUAAGAAUUGGAAAAUUGGGAACGGAAGAAUUUAGAAGUGAUUGCAGAAAAAAAAUUUGAAGAUAGAGUCGCAAGAAAAGAAGAAUAUACGAGAAAGAGAAAU